GUGCAGGAGAGCCCAUCAAGUGCAGUUUUCCUGUGUCUCUGAGGGCGGGGCUUCCUUCCUGCUGUGAACCGGCGUAGGAAUCACCGCUCAGCUUUCCGGUCUUGGUUUUCCACUCUUGUGAGGUCUAUGUGAUUCCAUCAGGGCAACUGACUUCCUAAUUAGUGUUUAAUAACAAUUCCUGGAACACUUGUGAUGCCAAUCCACGCAUCAGCUAGCCUUUCCACUGGAACUCCUCAAUGAGAGGCUGAGGUCACAGGUUUCACUAAGCCCCUUCUCAGCGGUGAAGAGGCAGUCAAGCCUACCUUCUACUUGGUGCUCCUGUAGGCCGGACGGACCCCAGACAAAUCAUCAUCAGAGAAGGGGAACUGGAUAGGCAUGAAUGUAAUUGGAGAUACAAGAAAGAAAUCAAAAAAAUUCCACCUGUUUAAUGAACAAGUCUAGAUAAAAUUAAAACUCUUAAAUGAGGAGGUUUAAGGGAAAUGAUUGCAAUAGUUUGAUGACCAGUAUGCUGCUCUGUUUGUUGUAUUGAUGGUUUAUUUUUUUGAGUUAACAAUCAGCAAGUCUUACAUGGGAUUUGUUGACACAGAACUAAAUAUUUCUUGAAGACUUUC